GCCAUCGUGGUGUAGUGGUCAGCACGCUUGGCGCUUAUUCGAAACAUCCGUGGUUCGAGCCCCGGCGAAGGCA
rfam:Stegodyphus mimosarum contig55344, whole genome shotgun sequence.